UCUUUUCUUUUAGUUUUGUCAAUUCUCGAUUCUGAUGCGUGUUCGUGUUUUCAAUUUCAACGUAUGGCUGUCUCCUCGGAGUUUAAUCCUCAAAAAUCAGUUUCUUCGAGCUGAUUAUUUGAUUACAUUGGCACCGUAGGGUUUGAGCGUGAGAAACUGUUUGGGUUGACAGGUUAGGGUUUGUGAAUCAUCUCAUCCUCUCUGGAUGGAGAAGAUGAUUUGCCUAUUUCGUAAUUUUCGUUAACUUGCUUUGAUGGGCAGAAAAAGGUGUAGUUUUGAGCUGGGGAUUUGCUGUUCUUUGGGAUUUUGUUGUGAAAAUUUGGAUUUAGAGGGUAAUCUAUGAGUUUUGAUUAGAUUCAGUAGCUUGCUUUUGAUGCCCUUCAUGUUUGCCUACGCUUAAAGCUGUGUGAAGAAAUCAGUCUCCGAACUGUAAGCUCCACAUUGUGUUUUUGCUUCAGUUUAGGUGCAAUGGACUAUAGAUGGCACAGUGGUAAGCAUGAUUCUGGUGCUCGAGAUCGAAGAAAUCAAGGGAGAGGGGCAAGGAAGCAAUCUCUGUUAGAGAUUUCUCGUUCACUGUUAUGGACUCUCUCAUGGAGAAUCUGUCAGAGGAUUUCCGACCACCAAUAAACCAAAAGCCUACGGAAAAUGUGGAUUUAGAUGAUGUGAAACAAGCAUCUCUUGACACACAAUCGACAUCAUCCAAUGUUGGAUUUAGGCUUCUGCAAAAGAUGGGGUGGAAAGGAAAAGGCCUCAGGAAGGAUGAAACAAGGUACCUAUAUAAUCCACUGUUGCAAUAGAAAUUGUUGAGCCUAUAAAAUCAGACAUGAGACAGCCCAAGUUAGGGAUUGGGAAGCAAGAAGAAGAUGAUUUCUUUACUGCCGAGGAGAAUAUUCAGCGAAAGAAACUGGAUAUCGAUGUUGAGGGGACUGAAGAAAAUAUCAAGAAGCGAGAGAAAGCAGCACAUAGCAUAUAUGUGUGUCUUUUGAAGGGAAUGGUAUAUCAUAAGGGAGCAUCAACUUUGGAAGAAUUUCCUGCAGUUUUUAUUACCUGGUGGCUACUUCUACUGCGCCCUUCGUGCACCUUAUGAAAAUCCAAGUCAUAGCUGGUCUCGAGCAGAAAAUUCAGAAUGAGGUCAAAGAAAUAUGUAAGGUGUUCUUUUGUGAGCUUUGCAACAAGCAAUACAAAUUGGCCAUGGAAUUUGAGGUUCACCUAAGCUCAUACGACUGCAACCACAGAAAGAGGUUCAAAGAAAUGAAGGAGAUGCAUGGGAGUACUAGUCGUGAUGAAUGUCAAAAGAGAGAACAACAACGGCUCGAUAGGGAGAUGGCCAAAAUAACUGAUGCCCAUAAGCAGAAGCAACAACAACAAGAUGAUCCUGGGUCUGCUCCAGCUCCAACUGUAACAACUGCUGCUACAGCACUCGCUGAUCAGGAGCAGAGGAAGGCUUUGAAGUUUGGAUUUUCAUCCUAAAGUAACUGCUGUAAGGUGUGUUGCUUCGAGAUGUUUGAAUUUGCAUUAUAUCUAGUAACAUUAUUCUGGUCCAUACUCAUUGCAUGUGCAUGUGUUAUAUCUUCGGUAGCCUCAAUCGCUUGACGUUAGAAAGUCCAUGAUUCUUGCUUCUAAGAGAUGCUUGUUCAAAUCGGAACUCUACUAUUGCAUUGUUGAGAACCUUGCAUACUACAAAACGUGUGGAGUUAUUGAGGAGCUGAUUUACUUCUUCCAAGUCUCCCUAUCUGUUGAUUUGGCUUCUUAUUCCCUCAUUCUUGUCACGGUUGCUGGGCAGAGCUCACUUGGUGCUGCUACAAAGAAACCAAUCUUUUAGAUAAAAUUUUCUAUCUUAAUUACUCUCAAUCUUUUCUUUAAAUACUUCAUAUAUUCAAAUCAAGAAGUUAGAAUUGGUCUCAUGACAUGAAUAUAAACAAGUUACAAUUACAAAUUUUUUUUAUUAAUAUAUAUUAGGUACGUAAGACUUUUAGGAAGAUAAAGAAAAGUUUCAAUUAAUAUUACGUAUUAUGAUCAUUUAUAUCCGUAGAAGAAAGAAAAAGAAUUAGACCAAACUAAACUAUUUAAAACAUUACUUUAUUGGCAUAUAUGCCAAAUGUAAUAGUAACUUUACUUUAAAGAACUUUUUUCUUUUUUCCUUAUUGAAAAUUCAUUUUGGAAUGCAACGACCGUCUUUCAUAUUCUCCUCGCAUCUUCUCUCCUUCAUUUUUCAUGAAAAAACCCCCCAAGCACACUUUUCAUACUUUGUUUGGAUGGAGGGAAAUGCAAGGGAAGGGAGAGAACCGUGAGGGGAGAGGAAAAGUAUGUAUAGAAUUUUUCAAAAAUUUUAUAUAAAAUUUGACUUUUUGAAUUCUUCAAAAGAAAGGCUAUGGCCAUUUUGACUUUUUUGUGAGAAGGUUGAGAUAUUUAAGAAAUAGAUUUGGAUGAAUCUAUCUACGCUCCAAGUGGGCAAAACUUACUUGCAUUGUAAAGAUUUGGAACUCAGUGAAAGUACAGCACUUGAAAAGUUUGAAUAACAACUCAUGGUCUUUCUAGAAAAGGAAUAAAAAAAUUUGCUUUGAAAAUUCUGCUGAAGGGCGAAAAGGCCUUCAGUGGUAAUAAAUAUACGUGAUCAAUGCAACAAAAAAGAAGCCCUUGAUAAUCAAUCCAAUAAGCACAAAAUUAAGCCGAUAAGUCUCCUUUGCAAUUAAAAAAUAAGUUAAAAAACGAAUGAGAUUAUGCAGUAGAAGAAAAAGGGAAAAUUUAAAUAUAAUUAAAGAGUUCUUGUAAAUUCAACGAUUUCUUUUUUUUUUAAUAAUUCAUUGUUAUCUUCAUGAUUCUAUUCACAUUUUAAGAUUAUAUGAAUAAAUCAUAUAUAGUAAAAUUCUUGGAAAAAAGUUGGUGUUUUACAUUAAUUUCUCGUAAUAUUUUUUUUUCUUAUGAUGGUUAAAAUUUUAUCAACUUGUCAUCACUUAAUUUAGUUUUUUUUAAUGAAAUAUGCUACUUUGUAUUUAAACUUUAGUAAUCGAUACCCUAUUAGAAAUUACUAUUAAUUAUCUAUUAAUUUGUGUGAGAGUGACAUAAAGUAAUUAAUGAGAUGUAAAUUUAUCAAAAUUUAAAAUGUAAGAAGCGUAUAUAUCGUGGAAACUCACGUAUAAUAUAUAAAAAUUUGUGAUCCAUCACGUGUGUUAAAAAUAAGCCUUAUGAAUGCCUCUAAUGAUGCUUGGAUGAUCUCCAAUGCUUAUCAGCUUUUCAAUCUAACUAGUGAAUCUAUACAUGUGUUGCACGUGAAAGGUUUCUUGAUUAAGUGAUAAGACGUAAUACUUAUAAAA